rnacentral:rRNA from 1 species
CCUACGGGAGGCAGCAGUGGGGAAUAUUGGGCAAUGGGCGCAAGCCUGACCCAGCAACGCCGCGUGAAGGAAGAAGGCUUUCGGGUUGUAAACUUCUUUUAAGAGGGAAGAGCAGAAGACGGUACCUCUUGAAUAAGCCACGGCUAACUACGUGCCAGCAGCCGCGGUAAUACGUAGGUGGCAAGCGUUGUCCGGAUUUACUGGGUGUAAAGGGCGUGCAGCCGGGAAGACAAGUCAGAUGUGAAAUCCCGCGGCUCAACUGGUAGUCGCACUCAAAACUGCAGCUCUUGAGUGAAGUAGAGGCAGGCGGAAUUCCUAGUGUAGCGGUGAAAUGCGUAGAUAUUAGGAGGAACACCAGUGGCGAAGGCGGCCUGCUGGGCUUUUACUGACGCUGAGGCUCGAAAGUGUGGGGAGCAAACAGGAUUAGAUACCCUAGUAGUC